UCAAUGAAUCAAGCCAUUAAAGGUUGUGAAUCCUCCGAUAAGGGGAAAGAAAUUGUACCCGAGGAUUGAUAGUCGGAGUACUUUAAAAAUUCGACUCCCGAAAUACUUGCUACAGUGGGCGAGUUCUGUGGACCAGCGUAUUAGAGGGGCAAGGAAUCCCUUUAUAUUCUUACCUCGAUUGGAGAGGCGUGUAGGGUAACUUUCGAGGUAAAACUUUUACAGUUCACUUCACGCCAA